rnacentral:rRNA from 1 species
GCCGGCAGCCAUAUCACCCUGUAGCCCAAGACUGGUUGCCCACUGAAGCUAAGCAGGGCUGAGCCUGGUCAGUACCUGGAUGGGAGACCUCCUGGGAAAAACUAGGUUGCUGCUGGAA